rnacentral:rRNA from 1 species
GGAGUAUUACAAACUAUUUCAAAUUCAAGUGAAUGCAGCCGCUAGAUAGAGAUGUGGCGCCUGAAUGCAAAGUUUCGGAGGUAGUAUUACAAAUUAUUUCAAAUUCAAGUGAAUGCAGCCACUAGAUAGAGACGUGGCGCCUGAAUGCCUGAUGUCCAUAUAAAGAUUACAGCAAACCUUAUACAGGACACAUUUGUCCCAAUUUCCCAACCGAAAAUACAUCAGAGGGAGGGAUGAUCAAUAGUUCUGUACUCGAGAGCGAACUAGCCCUACAAGCUACGCGUACUCUACAUCUCCAGUUCUGACAAGACAAGAAUAC